rnacentral:rRNA from 1 species
CUCCAGACUCCUACGGGAGGCAGCAGUGGGGAAUAUUGCACAAUGGGGGAAACCCUGAUGCAGCGACGCCGCGUGAGUGGAGAAGUAUUUCGGUAUGUAAAGCUCUAUCAGCAGGGAAGAAAAUGACGGUACCUGACUAAGAAGCCCCGGCUAACUACGUGCCAGCAGCCGCGGUAAUACGUAGGGGGCAAGCGUUAUCCGGAUUUACUGGGUGUAAAGGGAGCGUAGACGGCAUGGCAAGUCAGAUGUGAAAGCCCGGGGCUCAACCCCGGGACUGCAUUUGAAACUGUCAGGCUGGAGUGCAGGAGAGGUAAGUGGAAUUCCUAGUGUAGCGGUGAAAUGCGUAGAUAUUAGGAGGAACACCAGUGGCGCAGGCGGCCUGCUGGACGACAACUGACGGUGAGGCGCGAAAGCGUGGGGAGCAAACAGGAUUAGAUACCCGGGUAUGC